rnacentral:lncRNA from 1 species
AGUCCCGGAACAGGUUGUGUGAGCCUCUUCAGGGGUUCAUCCAGCGCUGUUUUGGAGAAAUCUCUAUUUCAAUUUAUUCCUAUACGUUAGUUACUGAAAAACAACAGACAAUCGCAAAAGCAAGUUGCCCGUUUUGUGUUCCUUGAGCCCAAUCAUGAAGUGCCGUCGUGACUGGGCCUCAUGACAAACAACUUGUAACAAGUAACAACAGAGCUCAGGUCCCAGACCGCACUGAAGCUCUGUGAGACCUCUCCUCAUCUGUGCAUGAACGAGUGUCUGACUCUGGAGCCCAGCCUGCUGCUUCCCAGUCUGGUGGUGAAUCCUCCGUAGUCUGAUGGAGGUUUGCUCUUGUUGCCCAGGCUGGAGUGCAAUGGCACAAUCUCGGCUCACUGCAGCCCCUGCCUCCCAGGCUCAAGCAAUUCUUACGCCUCAGCCUCCUGAGUAGAUGGAACUACAGAUGCUAAAAUUGACACCAAAAGCGUAGGUGAUGAGCUUGAAUCAGGUAAGAAUUAUAUUCUACUUCCAGCUAAAGAAGAGGAUAUAGAAGAUCAAUAGCUUAAACAAAACAGAAGGGCAUGGACUGGAACUCCCAAUACCCCUGACAUGGGCUGAGUCAACGUGGUCAUGAACAUGUGACAGGAGGCAGCAGAAGUUGCAGAGAAGAGUGAGGCACGUUUGAAAAAGGCUGAAAAAUGUUUCUGUCCAGGCAAGGGUGUGUGCUGAAUGACUCAAGGAUUUUUUGGUGCAUUGAAUGAACAGCGGGACAUUGGACACCUGCUGAUCCAUCACCCCGGGCCCGGGCAGGCCCGUGGAUGAAGAGAGAUGGAGAAGACCAGGCAUGAGACUGUGGAGAAGCCACACCACCAGAAACCCCUGCCCCAUGCGCCGUCCAGCCCACACCUGUGGAUGCACGGGGGAUUGC